rnacentral:rRNA from 1 species
CGUCUAUAUACGUAUAGCAUAUCAAUAAGCGGAGGAAAAGAAACUAACUAGGAUUCCCUUAGUAACGGCGAGUGAAGCGGGAAGAGCUCAAAUUUGAAAUCUUCAAGGUUUUACCUUGACGAAUUGUAGUUUAAAGAAGUGUUUUCUGUUGGUGUUUUGGUAAAAGUUCUUUGGAAUAGGACAUCAUAGAGGGUGAGAAUCCCGUAUUUGACCAUUACUUCCAGCGUUGUGAUACACUUUCAAAGAGUCGGAUUGUUUGGGAAUGCAGUCCAAAAUGGGUGGUAAAUUUCAUCUAAAGCUAAAUAUUGGCGAGAGACCGAUAGCGAACAAGUACCGUGAGGGAAAGACGAAAAGAACUUUGAAAAGAGAGUUAAACAGUACGUGAAAUUGUCAAAAGGGAAGCGUUUGACACCAGUGUUGUUUUUCCGAAAAUCAAUUACGAAUGUUUUGUUUUUAAGGAGUUAUGACUUCAUCGGCUUGCUUCUUUCUUUACGAAACUUUCUUAAUGCACUUUUCGGUUAACAAGUCAACAUCAAUUUCUUUUGUUGUAAAAGGGUAUGAGGAAGGUGGCUUUCUUUUCGGAGAAAGUGUUUAUAGCCUUGUGCCUCUACAAUCGGAGAGAUUGAGGUCUGCAGCGUAGAUCCUUCGGGGUUAGAUACGUUUGUGCUAAGUUAUAGCUUUUCAUAGACAACUUGUUGACUAUGUUUAGUCAUUGCUAGCUUACUCGCUUAUGCUAUUUUACCUACGCUUAGGAUGUUGACUGAUAUGUAGUCGU